rnacentral:rRNA from 1 species
UACGGAGGGUGCAAGCAUUAAUCGGAUUUAUUGGGCGUAAAGGGCGCGUAGGCGGUGGGAUAAGUUAGGUGUGAAAUCCUGGAGCUCAACUCCAGAACAGCACUUAAAACUGUCCUUCUAGAGGGUAGGCGGAGAAAACGGAAUUCCACAAGUAGCGGUGAAAUGCGUAGAUAUGUGGAAGAACACCUGUGGCGAAAGCGGUUUUCUAGCUUAUUCCUGACGCUAAUGCGCGAAAGCAAGGGGAGCAAACAGG